GGUUAAGCGACUAAGCGUACACGGUGGAUGCCCUGGCAGUCAGAGGCGAUGAAGGACGUGCUAAUCUGCGAAAAGCGUCGGUAAGGUGAUAUGAACCGUUACAGCCGGCGAUGUCCGAAUGGGGAAACCCAGUGCAAUUCGUUGCACUAUCGUUAACUGAAUACAUAGGUUAACGAGGCGAACCGGGGGAACUGAAACAUCUAAGUACCCCGAGGAAAAGAAAUCAACCGAGAUUCCCCCAGUAGCGGCGAGCGAACGGGGAGCAGCCCAGAGUCUGAAUCAGCUUGUGUGUUAGUGGAACGGUCUGGAAAGUCCGACGGUACAGGGUGAUAGUCCCGUACACCAAAAUGCACAGGCUGUGAACUCGAAGAGUAGGGCGGGACACGUGGUAUCCUGUCUGAAUAUGGGGGGACCAUCCUCCAAGGCUAAAUACUCCUGACUGACCGAUAGUGAACCAGUACCGUGAGGGAAAGGCGAAAAGAACCCCGGCGAGGGGAGUGAAAAAGAACCUGAAACCGUGUACGUACAAGCAGUGGGAGCACCUUCGGGUGUGACUGCGUACCUUUUGUAUAAUGGGUCAGCGACUUAUAUUCUGUAGCAAGGUUAACCGUAUAGGGGAGCCGCAGGGAAACCGAGUCUUAACUGGGCGUUAAGUUGCAGGGUAUAGACCCGAAACCCGGUGAUCUAGCCAUGGGCAGGUUGAAGGUUGGGUAACACUAACUGGAGGACCGAACCGACUAAUGUUGAAAAAUUAGCGGAUGACUUGUGGCUGGGGGUGAAAGGCCAAUCAAACCGGGAGAUAGCUGGUUCUCCCCGAAAGCUAUUUAGGUAGCGCCUCGUGAACUCAUCUUCGGGGGUAGAGCACUGUUUCGGCUAGGGGGUCAUCCCGACUUACCAACCCGAUGCAAACUACGAAUACCGAAGAAUGUUAUCACGGGAGACACACGGCGGGUGCUAACGUCCGUCGUGAAGAGGGAAACAACCCAGACCGCCAGCUAAGGUCCCAAAGUCAUGGUUAAGUGGGAAACGAUGUGGGAAGGCACAGACAGCCAGGAUGUUGGCUUAGAAGCAGCCAUCAUUUAAAGAAAGCGUAAUAGCUCACUGGUCGAGUCGGCCUGCGCGGAAGAUGUAACGGGGCUAAACCAUGCACCGAAGCUGCGGCAGCGACACUAUGUGUUGUUGGGUAGGGGAGCGUUCUGUAAGCCUGCGAAGGUGACCUGUGAGGGUUGCUGGAGGUAUCAGAAGUGCGAAUGCUGACAUAAGUAACGAUAAAGCGGGUGAAAAGCCCGCUCGCCGGAAGACCAAGGGUUCCUGUCCAACGUUAAUCGGGGCAGGGUGAGUCGACCCCUAAGGCGAGGCCGAAAGGCGUAGUCGAUGGGAAACAGGUUAAUAUUCCUGUACUUGGUGUUACUGCGAAGGGGGGACGGAGAAGGCUAUGUUAGCCGGGCGACGGUUGUCCCGGUUUAAGCAUGUAGGCUGAUUGUCCAGGCAAAUCCGGAUAAUCAAGGCUGAGGUGUGAUGACGAGGCACUACGGUGCUGAAGUAACAAAUGCCCUGCUUCCAGGAAAAGCCUCUAAGCAUCAGGUAACAUUAAAUCGUACCCCAAACCGACACAGGUGGUCAGGUAGAGAAUACCAAGGCGCUUGAGAGAACUCGGGUGAAGGAACUAGGCAAAAUGGUGCCGUAACUUCGGGAGAAGGCACGCUGGUGUGUAGGUGAAGCCCCUGCGGGUGGAGCUGAGACCAGUCGAAGAUACCAGCUGGCUGCAACUGUUUAUUAAAAACACAGCACUGUGCAAACACGAAAGUGGACGUAUACGGUGUGACGCCUGCCCGGUGCCGGAAGGUUAAUUGAUGGGGUUAUCCGUAAGGAGAAGCUCUUGAUCGAAGCCCCGGUAAACGGCGGCCGUAACUAUAACGGUCCUAAGGUAGCGAAAUUCCUUGUCGGGUAAGUUCCGACCUGCACGAAUGGCGUAAUGAUGGCCAGGCUGUCUCCACCCGAGACUCAGUGAAAUUGAACUCGCUGUGAAGAUGCAGUGUACCCGCGGCAAGACGGAAAGACCCCGUGAACCUUUACUAUAGCUUGACACUGAACAUUGAGCCUUGAUGUGUAGGAUAGGUGGGAGGCUUUGAAGCGUGGACGCCAGUCUGCGUGGAGCCAACCUUGAAAUACCACCCUUUAAUGUUUGAUGUUCUAACGUUGGCCCCUUACCGGGGUUGCGGACAGUGUCUGGUGGGUAGUUUGACUGGGGCGGUCUCCUCCCAAAGCGUAACGGAGGAGCACGAAGGUUAGCUAAUCCUGGUCGGACAUCAGGAGGUUAGUGCAAUGGCAUAAGCUAGCUUGACUGCGAGCGUGACGGCGCGAGCAGGUGCGAAAGCAGGUCAUAGUGAUCCGGUGGUUCUGAAUGGAAGGGCCAUCGCUCAACGGAUAAAAGGUACUCCGGGGAUAACAGGCUGAUACCGCCCAAGAGUUCAUAUCGACGGCGGUGUUUGGCACCUCGAUGUCGGCUCAUCACAUCCUGGGGCUGAAGUAGGUCCCAAGGGUAUGGCUGUUCGCCAUUUAAAGUGGUACGCGAGCUGGGUUUAGAACGUCGUGAGACAGUUCGGUCCCUAUCUGCCGUGGGCGCUGGAGAAUUGAGGGGGGCUGCUCCUAGUACGAGAGGACCGGAGUGGACGCAUCACUGGUGUUCGGGUUGUCAUGCCAAUGGCACUGCCCGGUAGCUAAAUGCGGAAGAGAUAAGUGCUGAAAGCAUCUAAGCACGAAACUUGCCCCGAGAUGAGUUCUCCCUGAGACUUUAAGUCUCCUGAAGGAACGUUAAAGACGAUGACGUUGAUAGGCCGGGUGUGUAAGCGCAGCGAUGCGUUGAGCUAACCGGUACUAAUGAACCGUGAGGCUUAACCUU
rnacentral:rRNA from 1 species